rnacentral:rRNA from 1 species
AACGAACGCUGGCGGCAGGCCUAACACAUGCAAGUCGAACGCCCCGCAAGGGGAGUGGCAGACGGGUGAGUAACGCGUGGGAACCUUCCCUUUGGUACGGAAUAAUUCACCGAAAGGUGGACUAAUACCGCAUACGCCCGAGAGGGGAAAGAUUUAUCGCCAAAGGAUGGGCCCGCGUUGGAUUAGCUAGUUGGUGAGGUAACGGCUCACCAAGGCGACGAUCCAUAGCUGGUCUGAGAGGAUGAUCAGCCACACUGGGACUGAGACACGGCCCAGACUCCUACGGGAGGCAGCAGUGGGGAAUAUUGGACAAUGGGCGCAAGCCUGAUCCAGCCAUGCCGCGUGAGUGAUGAAGGCCUCGGUUGUAAGCUCUUUGNGGGACGGAGUAAUAGACGGUA